UGUGAUUCCUCUGGGGGAUUAAAGUCAGGAUGAUCUAAAGGCAGAGGGUGGACUGAGUCCCUUGCUCCUUUGUUUACAGGGAAUGAGGGAGCAAAAGCUAUCCUUUGAGGAUGCCUCUUGGCAUCUAGUUCCACAUCAGGGCUUUGGUUACUCUCUGCAUAUUCCUGGAGGGUCCUGGAGCAGCCUCUAAGCUCUCAGGAAGUGGACAGACCAUAGAUAUUCUUUGACCUGGAUGCCAUGCUUGCUCAGCUCAGUGGAUGCACCUCAUACUCCUCAUCUUAAUCCAGACAACUUGAAUAUUCAUCUGUAAGACAUUCCUGCUUUGGCAGGCUGAUGGGGACCAUGAUGGCAGGGGAGUCAAAUCUAGACUCAGUGGGGCUUUUGAACCAAGCUUCUCCCUCCCUCUGCUUCAGCCCCACCCCAGUGUGGUGCAACCCUGUCCUCAUGGGUCACCAGACUGGUGAAACCUGAACAGUUGGAGGCCAAAGGAGGCACUUGAUGACAAGAGGGUGGGGAGGAGCUCCAAGAAUCUGUGGAAAAUUCCAUGAAACAGCACAGCUGGUGCUCUGUGGGGAAAGUUCCAUGCUAUCUCCACAAGUGUCGGGCCUUCUAGUUUAUUUCUGUCACAAUUAUCUCCAGAACCGAACUCCAGGUAUUAUCAUGUUCUGGAACGUGGAAGAGCUAGGAGAAAACAGAGUUCAAUGAUGAAUUUAACAAACAUUUAUUGACCAUGGUCUUAGAUAUUGCCCCUGGAUGAGGCUGGCUCUUAGCUCCUCCUCACUAAAGGCCUGCACUUGUAUCACUUCAUGUAAGCUUCACAAGGCUCCUCAGAGACUCCAGAACUCCUUUGUCCAGGCAAGGGAAGUGAAAUGCCUAACAUUAUGUGACUUUGCAGGUAAGGCUGUGCUGCAAUUUGGACUUACAUGCAUUCAGCCAAGAACAGCAUUUGUUGUUGUUCUUUUUAGACAGGGUUUCACUAUGUACACAGGCUGACCUCAAACUCACAGUGAUCCACCUGCCUCUGCCUCUGGGAUUAAAGGUGUGUACGACCA
rnacentral:lncRNA from 1 species